rnacentral:rRNA from 1 species
AUUUUAUGCUCUGUAAUUGGAAUGAUGGGAAUGUAAAACCCUCUCAGAGUAACAAUUGGAGGGCAAGUCUGGUGCCAGCAGCCGCGGUAAUUCCAGCUCCAAUAGUGUAUAUUAGAGUUGUUGCAGUUAAAAAGCUCGUAGUUGGAUUUCUGUCGUGGUCAUCCGGUACCGCCCGUAUGGGUGUGCACCUGGUUUGACCUCGGCUUUCUUCCGGUAGCCUUCGGCGCUUCAUUGCGUGGUUGGCGUUCCGGAACUUUUACUUUGAGAAAAAUAGAGUGUUUCAAGCAGGCUUGUCGCCCUGAAUACUUCAGCAUGGAAUAAUAAGAUAGGACCUUGGUUCUAUUUUGUUGGUUUCUAGGACCAAGGUAAUGAUUAAUAGG